rnacentral:rRNA from 1 species
UACGUAGGGUGCAAGCGUUGUCCGGAAUUAUUGGGCGUAAAGAGCUCGUAGGCGGUUUGUCGCGUCUGCUGUGAAAACCCGAGGCUCAACCUCGGGCCUGCAGUGGGUACGGGCAGACUAGAGUGCGGUAGGGGAGAUUGGAAUUCCAGGUGUAGCGGUGAAAUGCGUAGAUAUCUGGAGGAACACCGGUGGCGAAGGCGGCAUCCUGGACCGGCACUGACGCUGAGGAGCGAAAGCCAGGGGAGCAAACGGG